AGUCGCAAGAAGAUCUACCACGUCGUCUCCAUUCCGGGAUCAGUCGCCCGCGCCGCCGCCUCCCUGCCCUCUUUGCCGCCGCCGUCGUCCAUUGCCGCGGACGCCUCCUCCUCGCUGGCGAGAUGGUACGGCCUCCCCUUACUCCUAUCUAUGACGGCUCUAAUCCGUGCUCCUCCGGAUGCCAAGUUUCAUCUUUCGCCACCUCCUGCCACUCAUGGCGACCGCCGCGUCGCCCCCUCACCCACCACGCCCGGGACCCCAUGGCGGCCCGUGUCCUGGUCCCCAUGGCUACCGGCCUUUUCCCCUCGCCCCCAUGGCCGGCAUCCCCAUGGCGGUUGCUGCUGUGUAAGUGCUGUUAUUUUUGUACAAGUGCACCAACUCGGAGUUAGAUGCUUUGGUUUUUAGCACCUUUUCUUGCUACUGUGUAAAAUGAAACAGCAUAUUUAUCUGGUUCCAAUGUUUAAUUGCUUAUAUUUUUUAAGUUCAGGUUGAAAAGGGUGCUAAAGUAGACAUUCCAUUUUGGCUUGCGCAUGGAAUGCUGUCUCUGGAACAAGCAGUGUCAAUAAAUGUACCUCAUUGCUUCACCCAGAAGUAGGUUUCUUCGUAAAAAAAAUGUAUUUAUGGAAAUUCUUGAGAGGGACACCAAUAUAUACUUGAUGCAGUAGUAUGUAGUUAUCGUUCUCAUUACCUUCCUCUGUGCAAUCUUAAAUUCGUAAAUUCUCACUAAAAUGUUUCUAUACAAUCUUUGUUAGAAAUAGAUUGCCCACUCCACUGCUUUGCACAGCUUUGAUGAGCCUUAGACAUGUUAUAUUCUCAGUUACUACAAUAACUGGGUAAUUUUGUAGGCAUACAACACUACAAUGCAUUAUCCUUUCUACAUGUAUUCUAUUUUUGUACAAAUUUAAAUGCUUACAUGCCCAUAAAAAUGAUAAUUGCAGUCACAUAUUAAGUUCAAAUAGGAGGAACUUCUGUAAGUUCAAGUAGCUGUAAUCUUCGGGAGAAAAUGCAGUUAAUAGUAUGAACCAGCAACAAGCUUAUUACUAGAAGUUGCUUGUCUUGCAUGUAGAAAAAGUAAACAACACGUGUAUUGAGAUACUUAUUACUGUGCUAAGUGAGGCAACGUCUAGAAUGUCAUUCUGCUGCAUGCACUAGGAUAAUCUGAACCUGUCAAUAUUUUUCAAGCAUGUAACAUGGACAUAGUUAAUUAUAUGCAGUCAUUUGAUCCUUGAGUGCUACUUAUCAUGCAUGGAAUGUGUGUUUAGAGGACCAUUAGCAAAACUGAGAUUAGUUUAUACUUCAAGAUGGUAGAAAACUGCUAUGUCCUCUUAUAAUUUUCAGGAAUCGAUUUGAGGUUGUCCUUAUUUGUGUUGUUUUGUCUUAUGUAUCUCUUCGCCCAAGUUAUUUAAAUCAUUGUAUAUGUGUAGCACGUUCAGUUCCAGUCAUGUCAAAUUGUCGAAGAAGCAAUACCUGGAAUUGGAAAUAGAGCUACACCUCUAACUUUUAUUAUUUGAGAUUUGAGUGGUGGGAGCACAAAUACACCAGUGGAUGAUAUGCAAUCCGCCUAGUCCUUGAAUGCACUCUGAUGUUUGAGACACACACAUCCUGUAAAAUAGUACCAUACUUAUGCCAUUUUUAUGUAAUCUUGUAUAGGAUACUUCAAGUUAAGUGACAUUAAAUACCAGUACCAUAUAAUUUGUCCUAUCAAAAGGCUGUGAUAUCAUAUACAAGCACCUUUUCCUUUCAGGUCUGUUAAUCUAGGAAGCAUAUGUAUCCUUCUAUUCUAUAUCAGUGUUAGAUCUUCAGUCUUGUUAAUCUCAUCUUGUGUUCUAGAUCUCUGUUCUAGUGGUAUGGUAGAGCUAGCCUGAAUACAUGUUGUUUCACUGCUUGGCAGGAUCAUUGAGAGGACAAGAUAAUAAGUCAUAACUAGAUGAAUGAGAAAACAAUUUUGUAUUGUUUUAUCAUUGGUUAUUGUGCGUGCAAUUUUACUAGUUUCUUUGGUCUGAAAGCCUUACCAUCAUUUUCGUCUUGCAGACGGCAAUGGCAAGAGCAUAUUGUGAAGAGGAAGAGGAUGAGAAGAAACGUGUGGUUCUCAUCCAAUCUUUGUGGAACUCUCUUUAUGUGUGAUUGUGCAUUUGUUGGAACCUUUCUCUAUGCACUUGCACUUGCAGCAGUAUUCUGUUGUGCACAUGUAAAAUUAUUUUGAUGUGCCCUUGUUAGGCGUUGAACCUUAAUGCGUGGAGUCGGUGGAUGAUGUAUUGUAUUUGAUGUAAUAUGCUACUGAAAUGAAAUAUAUAUUUUAUUUGCAAUAUUUUAUUCUGUUGUAUUUAUUUUUAAUGAGCC
rnacentral:lncRNA from 1 species